rnacentral:rRNA from 1 species
AGUAACGCGUGGAUAACCUGCCUCACACUGGGGGAUAACAGUUAGAAAUGGCUGCUAAUACCGCAUAAGCGCACAGUACCGCAUGGUACGGUGUGAAAAACCCAGGUGGUGUGAGAUGGAUCCGCGUCUGAUUAGCCAGUUGGCGGGGUAACGGCCCACCAAAGCGACGAUCAGUAGCCGACCUGAGAGGGUGACCGGCCACAUUGGGACUGAGACACGGCCCAA